UACAGAGGUCUCAAGCGUUGUUCGGAUUCAUUGGGCGUAAAGCGCGUGUAGGCGGCCCGGUAAGUCCGCUCUGAAAGUCGGGGGCUCAACCCUCGGAUGCGGGUGGAUACUGUCGGGCUUGAGUGCGGAAGAGGCGAGUGGAAUUCCUGGUGUAGCGGUGAAAUGCGCAGAUAUCAGGAGGAACACCAAUUGCGAAGGCAGCUCGCUGGGACGUUACUGACGCUGAGACGCGAAAGCGUGGGGAGCAAACAGG
rnacentral:rRNA from 1 species